AUUGAACGCUGGCGGAAUGCUUUACACAUGCAAGUCGAACGGCAGCACGGACUUCGGUCUGGUGGCGAGUGGCGAACGGGUGAGUAAUGUAUCGGAACGUGCCCAGUCGUGGGGGAUAACGUAGUGAAAAUUACGCUAAUACCGCAUACGAUCUAUGGAUGAAAGCGGGGGAUCGCAAGACCUCGCGCGCUUGGAGCGGCCGAUAUCAGAUUAGGUAGUUGGUGGGGUAAAGGCCCACCAAGCCAACGAUCUGUAGCUGGUCUGAGAGGACGACCAGCCACACUGGAACUGAGACACGGUCCAGACUCCUACGGGAGGCAGCAGUGGGGAAUUUUGGACAAUGGGCGAAAGCCUGAUCCAGCCAUUCCGCGUGCAGGAUGAAGGCCCUCGGGUUGUAAACUGCUUUUGUACAGAACGAAAAGCUUUCUACUAAUACUAGGAGCUCAUGACGGUACUGUAAGAAUAAGCACCGGCUAACUACGUGCCAGCCGCCGCAGUAA
rnacentral:rRNA from 1 species